CUUUACUGUAGCUUUGUAUUGGACUUUGAACAGAUCUGUGUAGGAUAGGUGGGAGGCUUUGAAGUGCGGUCGCUAGAUCGCAUGGAGCCAACGUUGAAAUACCACCCUGGUGUGUUUGAGGUUCUAACCUGGGUCCCUUAUCGGGAUCGGGGACAGUGCAUGGUAGGCAGUUUGACUGGGGCGGUCUCCUCCCAAAGCGUAACGGAGGAGUUCGAAGGUACGCUAGUUACGGUCGGACAUCGUGACGAUAGUGCAAUGGCAUAAGCGUGCUUAACUGCGAGACUGACAAGUCGAGCAGAUGCGAAAGCAGGGCAUAGUGAUCCGGUAGUUCUGUAUGGAAGGGCCAUCGCUCAACGGAUAAAAGGUA
rnacentral:rRNA from 1 species